rnacentral:rRNA from 1 species
GACGAACGCUGGCGGCGUGCCUAAUACAUGCAAGUCGAGCGGAUCUUCCCUUCGGGGAAGGUUAGCGGCGGACGGGUGAGUAACACGUAGGCAACCUGCCUGCAAGACCGGGAUAACAUUCGGAAACGAAUGCUAAUACCGGAUACGCAGUUUCCCCGCAUGGGGGAACUGGGAAAGGCGGCGCAAGCUGUCACUUGCAGAUGGGCCUGCGGUGCAUUAGCUAGUUGGUGGGGUAACGGCUCACCAAGGCGACGAUGCAUAGCCGACCUGAGAGGGUGAUCGGCCACACUGGGACUGAGACACGGACCAGACUCCUACGGGAGGUAGCAGUAGGGAAUCUUCCGCAAUGGACGCAAGUCUGACGGAGCAACGCCGCGUGAGUGAUGAGGGUUCUCGGAUCGUAAAGCUCUGUUGCCAGGGAAGAACAGCCAGGCGAGUAACUGCGCUUGGAAUGACGGUACCUGAGAAGAAAGCCCCGGCUAACUACGUGCCAGCCGCCGCAGUAAGAC